GCCCGGCUAGCUCAGUCGGUAGAGCCUUGCGCUCUUAAUCCAACGGUCGUGGGUUCGAGCCCCACGUUGGGCG
rnacentral:tRNA from 1 species